AUUCAGGUGAAUGCAAAGAAUUAGGUGAAACUGGAAGAACCUUCUCUUAUCAUGGAUAUAUGGGCAUUAUUUUGGAAGAGGGAUACAAAAUAUUAAAAACUUACUUGGAGGUUCGAUUAAAAAAAAAAAAAAAAGAUAGGAGCUUAGAAUAUUAUUGCAUUCUCUCUUUGAACAUAGCGACAACUAUUCUGAAAAGAAAAUAGCACUCCUUGUGGAAGCUUUAAGAGUUCACAGAGCUGAAGAACUAUGCAAGGAAGCCAUAACCAGUGACCUCUCUCUCUUCAUUAUCCAGGUCAUGUUAAUUUUAUAAAACUAGUAAGCUUUGUGUAUACAUUUUUUCUUUCUUACUGAGUCUGUAUUAAGAAGAGAUGAACAUAGAGAAAAUGCAUAAGGAAAAUUACAGAAUGGUUGUAGCUUAUGUAAAUAAUAAGAAAAUAUUUGGCUGUGGGUUUACUGUAUAGCUAUGUAUAUAUAGUAUGGUUUUAUAUUUACAAUAUAGUUGUGUAUUACAGUAGGGAUUGUGUAAUUUCAGUAUGGCAGAAAUUAGUUCUUCAAUGAAAUGGAAAGAUCCAUAGGGUUUAGUUAAAUCAAGAAACUAUGAAUGGAAAAUUAUCCAACAGCAGGGUUAUGCUACAAUAUAUAUAUAUGAGAGUGGAUUAUUAUAGCCUAGAAAUUGAGCUUAGCUGAUAAGGAAAAAACAGAAUAAAACUACUCAGAUUUGAGGAUAAACAUAUCCAGGAAAAAAUUGUAUUAUGAAUAAUUCCUUUUCCUUAUUCAAUCUGUAUCAGUAUAAUCCAAAUCUGAGAAAUACUAUGGUUGUGAGGCUAAUUAUCCAAUCGUGAUUAAUCUUCACUAGCAUGUGAUUGAAAAUAAACCCUAGCUUAGGAAAGGAAAAUGGGAAAGAGCAGAUCAACAACACCCGUAAUGCAAUUAACAUUUCAAAUAUAAUCUAAAAUACAUUAAGAUAUUGUAAUGACAACGGAGACAUGUCAUGCAUGAUUUUCAUUCAAAAUUAAAGAUUACAUGGGAAGUUGGUGGCUCUUAAGCCAUUUUACCUUUCCUAAUCUAGGGGUUACUUAUAUUUUUAAUAUUUUCUACAAUGAUUUAUGAGAAGAUUAAAAUAGAAACCUCAUAUGAGAAUAUAACUCAGAAAAUAAAUGAAGUUCAUGGAAGAUGACUAAGACAUGUAAGUCAAAUCCACAGAAGGGCCAAGAGUGAAACAUAACACUAGUAGCAUCUCUAAAAUUAAUUCUACUGUUAGAUGAUUAUUUCAAAAAAUUAUAUCAGUUCUAAAGCUCACAGAGCCAGAGUUAACUAGGAAGAAACUUUUACUUAUGGAUAAUACUUAAUCAAACCUUUGUAUGAAAAGAGUUAGAUAGACAUAAGGGAACUUGGUGGUGUUCCUUAAAAUACAAAUGAUUAAUAUUAAGCUUUUCGAAAGGGAACAAUAACAAAUCUAAAUCAUAAUUCAUGUUGAAUAUAGAAACAUGGUAGUAACAAGAGGAUUAGAUACGGGUAUGUGCACAAAGAUGGUGGUAAGAAAAAGUGGACACCACCUAAAAAAAACAUGGAAAAACAAGCAGCGCAUACGUGAUAUUAAAAUUUGAAAUCACCGCGUACGUGCUUAGGUUCAUUGUUCCUGAGCCUAAAGAAAGAUACUGUGUAUGCGGUGUUUUUAGGAAAGUGAGUGCGUACGUGGAGUUUUUUAAGAAAGUGAGCGCGUACGUGGUGUUUUUUAGAAAAGUGAGUGCUUACACGGUUUUAAGUCCUAAAAACUGCGUGCACGGUACCUGUCAAAAAAAGUUUUAAAAAAAUGAUUGGGUCUUAUUUUCCCUAUGACCGUGGUGUUUUUUCCUCUAUUUUCUCCACGAAACCGCGAACGGGCUUCCACAUUUCUCCACCAAACAUUAUGGAUCAAGGUUAGUUUUGCUUUAUUUUUGUCUUUCUUUCUCAUUUAUUUAAUUUUUUUUACGUUUUGUAUUUAAUUUUGUUUAUUUUGAUUAGGUUUUUUAUUUUUUGUUUCAAAAACCAAAUUCUGAUAAUCCACAACAACAACAACAAGAUGCACCUCCUGAAAACCCCGAACAAAACCCACAAGGUACAUCUCUAGUUCCUCCUUUUGACCGUACACCUAAAACACAGGAGCAAUUGAUUAAUCAGUUAGGGCAAAACAUGUCUAAAAUAAAUAGAUUGAUUAAUAAAUUGAAAACAUCUAAGCUUGAGCAUCAUAAAUCCCUCGCCACUAGCCUAGAGACAUUAGCUAGUGGUGCCACAAUCGUUUCCACACAAAUUACAAAAUGGGGAAACUUUAGGGAUAUGUGUCGUUAAUACUAUGCUAGUGGGUUAUCAUACGAGAGAGUGAAAAACAAAAAUAUUAGUAAACAACAAAUAUGUGCCAUUUUUGUUGAUCCUAAAAUUGGUCAAUCAUUACCUCUUAAUGCAAAGAGGUUUCCCAUACAUUGGUGUACCAAUGUGCAGAUGAAGAAACUUUUUUGGUAGAGGUGGUGGAUGGUCUUUGAUGAUCCACCUUGUAAUAAUUAUGAGGUGCCAUUGUAUUUUUGAGAAAAUUAUACUAUGAGUUUGUCCUCAAUGUGCGGCCAAACUAUUUUGACAUGAUAGAGUUCCAUGGUAAAGGUUGUGGCUCUGCCCAAGCUAGAGCUGGAGCCCGUAGGUGAUUAGCCCCGGAGAGUCGUCACCCCCUAGCACCCAAACCGAAGGUGCAUUAGGUUGUCCCAGUAGAGUUGAAAGAGUCGAUGCAGCUAUAUACUCUUCAGACAGCCACAACAUUUACUGGUGCCAUCAUCUAGCAUGGGACACAGUUAACACACCCUCUUGUGCUGGAUGAUGAGCCAUUGGUUUCUCCAGGUGGCGACAAAGAGCCCAUUCAACAUGUGUGUGUCAGGUGCUCGGGGAAAUGCAUAGGGACAGAUGAUGAGGCUGUUGUAGAUGGAUCCACAUCUCAUUCGUGCACGAUUUUUAAGAGUAGAUGUCAGACCCGCAUGACUAAGGAUGUGGCGCUGAUAAAGGAGUCGAUGGACAUGUUGUUUGGCCAUCAGCCGCAAACACAAGUGAGUUGAUUUGAAUUCAUAGCAUUUUAUCAAUCAGUCACUUUAAAUUUGUAAUUACAUAAAUGAAUUUUCAUUUAUACAUCGAUUUAAAUUAAUACAAAUAAUAUGCAUUUUAGGAUGCAGCAACGGUAUCCCAUACUACUCACGCAGUUACUAUAGCUACAACUUCGACGCCUGAGGUAUAAAUUUUGUAACAUGUUAAAAUAGAAUAAUACACUUUGAAUUCAAAAAAAAAAACAAGAUAUACUAACUAUCAUUAAUGCUUGGUCCAAUUUUUGGUUUGUAGGUGUUGACAAGGGACCAAAUGUCCUAGAUUAAUGACAUCAUGCUCUCAGCGAUCGAUUUUGGCUUACAAGGCUAUACGGGUACCCCCUUCGUGUCUAGGCCUCGUCCUAAGCAAAAGAAUUCCUCGAAGAUGCCAAAAUGUGGGAAGAAACCAUUGAGCUAUGUGGAUUUGUUGAAUGCACCUGAUUCGCUCAUGGAUCGAGAGAGGGCAGAGGUAUGUAUCUCUACUUUAUUUUCUUGAUAUCAUGAUUAUAUGCACGUGUAAAUGUGAACUUGUGAUAAAUUAUAAUCUUAUAAUUUUUUCAUACAAGAAAUAUCCAUACCUGCUUCAUUAAUGACAAGCCCUCCUCCGUGCACUGGAGAAGCAUCUCAAGAUCCGAUACACUUUUGUUUGAUAUAUUACAUUAAUUGUUUUUAACCCACAAUACUUAUCAUUAUAUUAAUUGUAUUUAAUUUUUGAUCAUUUUUUGUAUAAGUAAUAGCGAUAGUUUCUCCAUCGACGGUGAGCCAUUCUCAAUCCAUUGGAGAAGCAUCUCAGGCACCGCCCCCUUCGCAGUUCGACCAUAAUGUGGAUCCUUUUAAGUUUGUCUUCAAGAAAAUUCCUAAGACUGACAAGGAGAGGAAAGCGAAGACAUUAGAUCUAAGAUCAGUCAAUGAGCCAUCUACAGAGCCGUGUACUGCAUCAAAGAAGCUCGAUUUUGAUGAUCCACCACAAGUUUAGGAUCAUAUAGUGUUAGUUGUGGUCAUAGAAUGACCAAUACAUGUAGAUAUAUUCUACAUUUUUAUUGUAUAUCGAUUUGGACAUGUCAUAUGCCACACUUUUGUAAUACUUGUA